AUGCGUUGCCGGUUUACUGAUGUUUGCAAUGAUGCAGGAACUCGCAUUAGUCAUCUGGGCUCUGAUGUUCAGAAGAAGCUGAAGGCUGCCUAUACGCUGAUAGAACAACUGUAUACCGGCGCUCAACGAAUCAUCUACACCGCUUCUCACAAUAAGCCGCCCCCGACGUUAAUCAAAGAUACCUUAGACAGGCUAUCUAUGCUGCCUGCCAGGGUAGAAGAGCUGAAGAGUUCUGCUGCAAGGGCUGGCGCUCUGACCGCGCUAACUCGGGCAAAAGCAUGGGUGCCUGAUCUCGACCCGACGGACAUGGCUAAAGGCUACCCAAGCUUGAAAGAAGACAGAUCAGAAUUUUGCACUGAAGAUCUCCGUGCCAUAAACCGGGAAGUGCGUCCCCUGGCUUGUCAACUUGCUGAAGAAGCUGAUCUUUCACAUUAUCAGGCGAGUUAUGAUAUCAAUAACAAGCGGGUUGCUGCACCAGCUCCUGAGGCUCAAAACCUGAUCCCUUCAAUCCGUAAGCACACUUAUGCCCCUGAUAUUGAACCGUCCACCCUUAUAAGCGACGAAGCUGUGUUCCAAGCUUUAACUGGAAUCGACUGGGCAACUAUUGACUUCCAGCCGCUGGGUAGGGACGAAGAAGAUGAACCGGUGCAAGAUGAUCCGCAGCCAUCAGGUCAAGCUGAUAAGCAAUCAUAA
rnacentral:rRNA from 1 species